rnacentral:rRNA from 1 species
GGACUACUAGGGUAUCUAAUCCUGUUUGCUCCCCUUGCUCUCGCGCCUCAGCGUCAGGAAAAAGCUAGAAAACCGCUUUCGCCACCGGUGUUCCUCCACAUAUCUACGCAUUUCACCGCUACAUGUGGAAUUCCAUUUUCUCCGCCAUUCCUCAAGACUCACAGUUUCAAAUGCAGCUCCAAAGUUGAGCUUUGGAAUUUCACAUCUGACUUACGAGCCCGCCUACGCGCCCUUUACGCCCAAUAAUUCCGAUUAAUGCUUGCACCCUCCGUAUUACCGCGGCUGCUGGCAC